rnacentral:rRNA from 1 species
UACGAAGGGGGCUAGCGUUGCUCGGAAUCACUGGGCGUAAAGCGCACGUAGGCGGAUUUUUAAGUCAGGGGUGAAAUCCUGGAGCUCAACUCCAGAACUGCCUUUGAUACUGGGAAUCUCGAGUCCGGGAGAGGUGAGUGGAGCUGCGAGUGUAGAGGUGAAAUUCGUAGAUAUUCGCAAGAACACCAGUGGCGAAGGCGGCUCACUGGCCCGGUACUGACGCUGAGGUGCGAAAGCGUGGGGAGCAAACAGG